AGGCUUAACACAUGCAAGUCGAGGGGUAACAGGGAUUGCUUGCAAUCCGCUGACGACCGGCGCACGGGUGCGUAACGCGUAUGCAACCUACCUUCUACAGGGGGAUAGUCAAUAGAAAUGUUGAAUAAUACCCCAUACGAUCAUUAAUCUGCAUGGAUUGAUGAAGAAAGUUCCGGCGGUAGAAGAUGGGCAUGCGUCCUAUUAGUUAGUUGGUAAGGUAACGGCUUACCAAGACAUCGAUAGGUAGGGGUCCUGAGAGGGAGAUCCCCCACACUGGUACUGAGACACGGACCAGACUCCUACGGGAGGCAGCAGUGAGGAAUAUUGGACAAUGGAGGCAACUCUGAUCCAGCCAUGCCGCGUGCAGGAAGACUGCCCUAUGGGUUGUAAACUGCUUUUAUACAGGAAGAAUAGUACCUACGUGUAGGUAUUUGACGGUACUGUACGAAUAAGGAUCGGC
rnacentral:rRNA from 1 species